UACGGAGGGGGCAAACGUUGUUCGGAUUUAUUGGGUGUAAAGGGUAUGUAGGCGGGCUUGUAAGUCGGAUGUGAAAUACUAUAGCUUAACUAUAGAACUGCAUUCGAAACUGCUUGUCUUGAGUUUGGGAGAGGAGAGUGGAAUUCUCGGUGUAAGGGUGAAAUCUGUAGAUAUCGAGAGGAACACCAGUGGCGAAAGCGACUCUCUGGACCAAAACUGACGCUGAAAUACGAAAGCUAGGGGAGCAAACAGG
rnacentral:rRNA from 1 species